UUCAUUACAGGAUGCGUCGAUCCAGACAUUUUAAUUGGUCGCUUUGCUCACAUUGAGCGGAGUGUCUGGGGAGCAAAGUAGCGAAACCGGCCUUAGCGGC
rnacentral:ncRNA from 11 species